rnacentral:lncRNA from 10 species
AACUCUCUGCCCGGAGAGAGGCCCGACAGCUGCGACCCGACUGGUUCUGUCCGAGCCCGACGGGCCGCGCUGACCCAGCGACUGUGCCUGACUGACCACAGGUCAGUGGAUUCAAAACGAUGAAAGUGGAUUCAAAACCUCUGUCAAGGGGUGCUGUCCUUUCCUGGCCAAGUCUCUUUUAUUCUCUUAGGGCUGCAACCUCUUCACCUGGGAAAUGAAUGGUCCUGUGAUUUACAAGAGCAGGGUCCAGGCUGAAGGUGCAGGCCCUAUCCAAGACACAACAUUUCCAGUGGCAGAGAUAAAAAAGUAAGAUUUCAGACUCAAACAUGCAAUGGCACUCCAAGUUUCUGCUUCGAACUGGCAUGUAUCUCUCUAGCUCACAUUUCAUUGGCCAAAGGAAGUCAUGUGGUUAAGCUUGACAAUGGGCUGGGGAAGUGCACUCCUUCCUCUGGAAGGUACACAAGUCACAUGGCAACUGGCUAGGAUGGAUAAUUCUCUUACUGGCCAAGGGAAGGGCAAAUAAUGGAGAAAAAUAAUACGUCAACCACAGGGGUUGAGUAACUUUCCCAAGAUCAAACCACUGGGAAGGGACAGAGGCAGAUUCAAACUCAGACAGUCUCCAAAGCCAUAGUGAACUCCAUGGCUCCCUACUGCCUGUUAGAUGGAAUCCAAAUAUAUUUAAGCUUUAGGGCAUUCCUGCAGCCUGGAGGGCCCUUCUACCUAAUUUGUGUGCUGAAUUCACUCUUUAAGGCUCCACUCCAAUCUCAACUCCUUGGACUCACUCUUAUUUGUCAUGUGUUCCCUCUGCUCUAAGGCCCUUGUACAGUGUUCCCAAAUGUUUGCAGUAUUUUGGGAUGAAAGGAGUGAGGGGCACAAGCUGCAAGUGGACUGUGCUCCUGAGGAUGAGAGCACUUUGCCUACUUUUCCACCCCUCUAAACUAAGCUUAGUAUCUUGUGCUUGGGUGACUCUGACAGGUCAGCCCCGCAUGACUCACUCUGUAAGCCUUCAGCGCGGGUCACCACAAGGUCCUGGUUUAGGGUGUGUGAGUUGGUGGGUGGGGAGGGGAGGUGGAAAUUAACUUUCACCUUUCAGGAACCUUUCCCUUCCCCAGGAGAAGGACAAGUGUAAGUCCUUCCCUUAAGUAGUCUGGGCAAGUCUCUACUCAUCACUCCUAGGAGGACUGGGGAGGUCCUGGAAGGUGCAGAGGAGGAAGCUCUGAGAAGUAGAAACAGCACCAAACUGCACCAUAGAAGACUUUACUAAUUUGUCCAAAUGACAGAAUUUACCUUCUCUGAGCUUCAGUUUCCCCAGCUAUAAAGUGGCAACAACACUGAUCUUGCCCUCCUCCCUAAGUUGCUACAAAAAGACAUAGUAAAAAUCUUUAGGGUGCCGGGCAGGGUGGCUCACGGCUGUAAUCUCAGCACUUUGGGAGGCUGAGGCAGGCAGAUCACCUGAGGUUAAGAGUUCGAGACCAGCCUGGCCAACAUGGUGAAACCCCAUCUCUACUAAAAAUACAAAAAUUAGCCAGGCAUGGUGGCAGGCACCUGUAAUCCCAGCUACUUGGGAGGCUGAGACAUGAGAAUCGCUUGAACCCGGGAGAUGGAGGUUGCAGUG